GUGGUAGAAUCUGUCAGAGGUGUCCGGAAGUUGAAGUUUCAUACUAAUCCGAAGGAUGAAGUUUCGUACUGAUCCGAAGGUUGAAGUUUCGGACUAAAACACGGAGGGGCAAUAUUGGUUUUUCCCCACUUUUAAAUGGGGUGGGAAAUCCAAAACAGGGGGUGGGAAAUCUAAUUCCCCCAAUAAACCCCUUCUCCCAAACCCUCAUCGGUCUCUCCCGUACACCACCACAACCGCCACCAACAACACUGCAACUGAAGGAGGUUUUCGGCUGCGAAUCCAACACUACGACCGAAACGUGAAGGUUUCUGCCGCUCCUGCUCCUGUUCAACCGUGAAGGUUCGAGAGGCUCAAGAGCGCAUAACCCUUCAGUUUUGUGAUAAAAUGCCUAACCCAAUGGGAGCAUCAUCUGUUGCCUGUGGAAAGAUCUCUUCAAUGCCUAUUGUUUUCUUCACUAUUAUUGGUGGAAAGGUUUUUGAUCUUGCUCCGUAGGAGUACAUACUGAAGGUGGGUGAAGGUUCUGCAGCCCAAUGCAUUAGUGGCUUUACUUCUUUGGAUGUUCCUCCUCCACGUGGCCUACUCUGAUGCGUUUACAUUAUCAAUUCAUUAUGCACUCUCAUAGCCUUUCUCAUGUAGAAGCAUAAAAUACCUCACAAUAUUUCAGGCUGGAUGGCUGUUGCAUUGAUUGUUGCUCUAUUCUUGGACAACACUCUAAACUACAAGGAUAGUGCCAAAGACAGGGGAAUGUCAUGGCAAGUUAUAAACAGCCUUUCUCCGUCAUUAGGUUACUGACGGUAAGUUACCGACGUCCUUUUCCGUCGGUAAGUUACCAUGGUAACUAUUACCAAACGCAGGUUAUACCGAUAGAUUUGUGGCUAUCAGUAAUCCGUCCGAAAUCUACCAUUACUGACAGUGGGCGUAAAAAAUUCUCUUCAAAAUCCAAAAGACCAGACCAAAUAUUAAGGGCACAUGUCCUAGUCUUCAGAAAUAGUAUCAGUGUGAAUAUAUAUUUUCUUUCAUCAUAAUUCCUUCUAUGUUUAUCAUCAUCUCUUUGACUUCUCAUUAUUAGGUGGUUUUAUCUCUCUACUCAGUAUAUACAUUAUUAUCAUAACUUCAUUCACAUUCACAUUUACGACCUCACCACAAAGUCUUUAAUAAAUCCAGUUCCAAUGUUAUAUAUAUCACUCUCUGUUCAGUUCAUCAUUCAAAUAUCAGAUGAAGUGAGACCUAGUUGCCUGAGAUGGUGAAGCAUAUCUUCAGGAUGAUCGUCAAGUUUUGGUCGUUCAGGCUGCACCCAGCGUCCAUCAUUGCCUCUGAUCAUGCCCUUAUUCUCAUCUUGCCUCCAGUGUGGUGGAACCAAGUAAUGGUCUUUUAAGCAAUCACAGGCCUUGUUCACCAAAGCAGGGUCUCUACCAGUUGAUAGGAUGAACCUCUGCCCCUUUCCGUGGUAUCUGCGUAUAAAUGCAGCCAAGCCAAAAGUUAAUUAACCCCACUUGCAUGAGUGAUUUCAGCAAACGUUAAGUUAAAAUCAUCAUGAUUAGACACUAUCAUCAGCAGAAAUUAAUUAAGCUUGGUUUAAUUGUUAAUCUACUACAUAUCACUUUCUAAUGUUAUACUAUAAUGUGAGUGUCACUA